UGGAGAGUUUGAUCCUGGCUCAGGACGAACGCUGGCGGCGUGCCUAAUACAUGCAAGUCGAGCGGACCGACGGGAGCUUGCUCCCUUAGGUUAGCGGCGGACGGGUGAGUAACACGUGGGUAACCUGCCUGUAAGACUGGGAUAACUCCGGGAAACCGGGGCUAAUACCGGAUGCUUGAUUGAACCGCAUGGUUCAAUUAUAAAAGGUGGCUUCGGCUACCACUUACAGAUGGACCCGCGGCGCAUUAGCUAGUUGGUGAGGUAACGGCUCACCAAGGCAACGAUGCGUAGCCGACCUGAGAGGGUGAUCGGCCACACUGGGACUGAGACACGGCCCAGACUCCUACGGGAGGCAGCAGUAGGGAAUCUUCCGCAAUGGACGAAAGUCUGACGGAGCAACGCCGCGUGAGUGAUGAAGGUUUUCGGAUCGUAAAACUCUGUUGUUAGGGAAGAACAAGUACCGUUCGAAUAGGGCGGUACCUUGACGGUACCUAACCAGAAAGCCACGGCUAACUACGUGCCAGCAGCCGCGGUAAUACGUAGGUGGCAAGCGUUGUCCGGAAUUAUUGGGCGUAAAGCGCGCGCAGGCGGCUUCUUAAGUCUGAUGUGAAAGCCCCCGGCUCAACCGGGGAGGGUCAUUGGAAACUGGGGAACUUGAGUGCAGAAGAGGAGAGUGGAAUUCCACGUGUAGCGGUGAAAUGCGUAGAGAUGUGGAGGAACACCAGUGGCGA
rnacentral:rRNA from 1 species